rnacentral:rRNA from 1 species
UGCCUACGGGGGCAGCAGUGGGGAAUAUUGCACAAUGGGGGAAACCCUGAUGCAGCAACGCCGCGUGAAGGAAGACGGUUUUCGGAUUGUAAACUUCUGUUCUUAGUGAAGAAAAAUGACGGUAGCUAAGGAGCAAGCCACGGCUAACUACGUGCCAGCAGCCGCGGUAAUACGUAGGUGGCAAGCGUUGUCCGGAAUUACUGGGUGUAAAGGGAGCGCAGGCGGGAAGCCAAGUCAGCUGUGAAAACUACGGGCUUAACCCUUGGACUGCUUUGGAAACUGUGCUGCUCGAGUGUCGGAG